rnacentral:rRNA from 1 species
AGCGAACGCUGGCGGCAGGCUUAACACAUGCAAGUCGAACGGGCUUCUUCGGAAGUCAGUGGCAGACGGGUGAGUAACACGUGGGAACGUGCCCUUCGGUUCGGAAUAACUCAGGGAAACUUGAGCUAAUACCGGAUACGCCCUUUUGGGGAAAGGUUUACUGCCGAAGGAUCGGCCCGCGUCUGAUUAGCUUGUUGGAGGGGUAACGGCCUACCAAGGCGACGAUCAGUAGCUGGUCUGAGAGGAUGAUCAGCCACACUGGGACUGAGACACGGCCCAGACUCCUACGGGAGGCAGCAGUGGGGAAUAUUGGACAAUGGGCGCAAGCCUGAUCCAGCCAUGCCGCGUGAGUGAUGAAGGCCUUAGGGUUGUAAAGCUCUUUUGUCCGGGACGAUAAUGACGGUACCGGAAGAAUAAGCCCCGGCUAACUUCGUG